rnacentral:lncRNA from 1 species
AAUAAUGGUCCAUAAAAAAGGAGGGUGGGCCUAUUAAUUCCUAACUAACCCAGGUAGUAACUCCAGUUAACAUAUCCUGUCGUCUCAUUCCUCUGCUAUAUAACAACCCCUUGGGUUAAGUCUAUGAAAUNNNNNNNNNNNNNNNNNNNNUUUCCCUCAUUUUACUUUUAUCAAUGGCAUCUGCAGAUGUUGAAUACCGGUGCUUCGUUGGUGGUCUAGCAUGGGCCACCGACAACGAUGCCCUCCAGAAAGCCUUCUCACAAUACGGUGAAGUCAUCGACUCGAAGGUCCGUUUGUUGCAGCCGGCGGAUCUGACACGAUUAUGAUUCGGAUUCGUCUCGAUCCUAUUCUGAUCUGUGAUCUGUUGUGUUACUUGAUUGAUCUAUUAUUCUCUACUGAUUCUGUUACUGUUACUGUUACUAUAUCAUAUCGUUCUUUUAUUACUCACACCAAUAGGUACGUUCAUCUUCAACCUUGAAUUAAAGGCGAAGAUCGAUCGGUUACUAUUCGGUUCUGGAUCUGUUUUUAUCGUGUUUCAUUAGAUCUGAUCUUUGAUUAUUGAUUUUAUGUGUGCAGAUUAUUACCGAUCGUGAGACUGGAAGGUCAAGAGGUUUCGGAUUUGUGACGUUUACGUCGGAGCAAUCUAUGAGAGAUGCAAUUGAAGCGAUGAACGGUCAGGAUAUGGACGGACGUCAUAUUACCGUGAAUGAAGCUCAGUCCCGUGGUAGUGGUGGUGGAGGCGGCCGUGGUGGUGGUGGAUAUGGUGGUGGAGGUGGUUAUGGUGGUGGGCGCCGUGAAGGUGGAUACAAUAGAAGCAGUGGUGGUGGAGGAGGAUAUGGUGGUGGAGGUGGCUAUGGUGGAGGAGGUGGUGGUGGUUAUGGUGGUGGUAGGGAUCGUGGAUAUGGUGGUGGUGGUGAUGGUGGUUCCCGCUACUCUCGUGGUGGAGGUGGUGGUGGUGGUGGAAACUGGAGAGAUUAGUGUAUUAGAUGUUAAGUUUGGUUCAAUCUAUUAUGAUUAUGUAUUUUCUGAUGUUAUUAUUGAUCUAGAAUUGGGCAUCUGUUCUGUUAUGUGGCUUCGUUUUACGUGUAUUUGUAUUUCUGCAUCCGUUAGUGUAUAAACGUGCCUUUUUCUAUGAUAAUUUAGUUACUUUGUAGAUUGAUUAUGUUAUAACAAUACUUUAAAGUGAUGAGUUUAGAUCAAAUAUGAGGUAUUAUAUGUUUCAUCAUUUCACCGUUAAAAAUGACUUGGAUUUACAUCAAAUAUAUUUUAAUGGCGAGAUAAUUAAGAUGAUUCCCUUCUAAAUUUGAACAUGAAAGUAUUCUAAUUCAUGUUGGCAUAGAACUAUUUCAGAGGUCCUAAUAUUCUUCUAAAUCUAUUUGGACCUAUCAGUCCAUCUAAAUUAUGAUCUCCAAGAUCAAACACUUAUUAGCACUGUUACACCUUUGAACAAAAUGUUAUAGCUAAUGGAUGCUCUUAAGUCUCAACAAAAAUUGAGUUAAUUGGGACUUCAAACAGUGUACUCUUUAAUUUGAUAAUAAUAAAGAGGUGGGUUUAAAUGAAACUAUAGUGUCGACUUAAUUUUUGACAUCAAAUCUCACCCCUUUGUUUUGAUUUGAUGCUAAGUGAUUUACUCAAGCUAUUGUGAACUGUCAGUAUCCAUAUCAACAACUAGAUUGUUCGGGUAGAAACUAGCAAGUGAAACAAGGUAUUAUGAGAAUUUGAAGAACUGUUUCUUUUUUUUUUUUUUUUGACGAGAUUGAAGAACUGAAUUAAAAAGCCGAGUAAACUUAAUUUCAACAAUGUAAAUAAAUAACCAGAAAUUGAUUAGCAAAUAAAUUGUGAUUCUAACGGAUGAUGUGUUAUUCGUUUACAUCCUCCACCAUUGUAUAUCCUUACUAUUGUUCCUAGUGCAAUAGUAGCGGCCUAGUGUCGAGACAUCACAAUUCACAGUCAAAGUAUUUGAGAUAAGAAGCAUGAUUUAGAAGUCGGUCGUAAAUUGAAAACAGAGUCAUNNNNNNNNNNNNAAUGCCGAGACAAAUUUAGAAUUUGCUAUUCAAAACCACAUUCCAAAUAUCAAAUUGAUAAUGACAAUUACUAUUGGAGAGUGUGAGGGAGCCCAAUAGUAAAAAUGGAAUGAACGUCGACGAUACGUGAAAGAUUUUGACCGAUAUAUGAGUAAGCUCUCUUAUAUCUCUCACAUUUUUUCCAUUCUUUAUUGAUGUGAAGCUAAUCAUUUGCAUUUGAAUUUCAACAAGUGAUAUCAAAGCUAUAAUUCGGCUUGGUGGGGAAGCAUGAGUGGAUUCUGGUGUUGAAUCAAUUGGUAAUAACAUUACCGUUAGUAAUAACGACAAUACAACUAUAUGAUGCAUGAGACUCACACACUUGAGGGGGAAAUUGUUUGAUUCAAGUGUAAGUGAUAAAGUUUCACGUCCACAAAAAAUGUGGUAAAUGUUUGAAUAAAGGAAUGAUGACUCGUACACUUAAGCAUUAAGGUUUUGGGUUGAAAUGUGGUGUCAAAGUCUCUUGUGAUCUUAGAGCAUUAAAUAACAUGGAAAUUCCAAAAUCGAAGAAAAAAUCACGACCAUUAUCUACAACUUUCUCUUCAUUUAUAAUUCUAAGAGCAUCUACGGCGGUGAACUCAAUAUGGGUUCUUUAGAUGGGGUCCACUGUGCCACAUCAUCUUGAAGUAAUUCACUCAUUUUCUACUUCAACGGUGAACUCAACAUGAUUCCACGUCACCCUAAAUCAAAUCAUUCAUUUUUUAUGGUUUAACUUUUAAAAAAUCAUAUUAUAUUCCAUUACUUUAAUUUAUACAUUAAUAUUUAAUUUUAUUAUAAUUUAAAAUAUUAAUUUAAAUGGAAAAAUAAAUAAAAAAGUACGUUAAUAAAAACUUUAAUAAACUUCUGUAACAAAAAUUGUGAAGAAAAUGUAUGAGUAACAAAUUGUUUCUAUUAAUGAGCUAACAAUCGUUAUUAAAAGAGAAAAAAAAAAAACUAACGGUGGUAUAUUAACUAAAAAAAACUAAUGGUUACAAAAUUAUUAUUAUUUAAUAAAUUAAAAAGAAGUUAACGGCUAUAAAUUAAUAAAAAAAAUUAUAAAUUUAUUAUUAUUAAUAAAUUAAUAAAAGGUAGCGGUUAUAAUUAUAUUAUUAUUAAAUUGUGAAAGUAGAUAAAAAAAAAACAAAAAAAAGUAACUGCUAUAAAGCACCGUUCCUUCCUGACAGUACCGUGAUGACACCUUGGCACAACUCCAACGGUGAACCCACAAAAAACUGGAAGUUAAGUAAUUACACGCUGACGGACGAACUCAUUUUCACUCCGGUUGUAGAUGCUCUAAGCAAUUUGAGACUUUUUCAAAUCCUCAAUUUCAAUCAAACCUAAUAAUCUCCACCUAGAUUAAAAUUGACGAAUCUUCAACUUUCAUUAUCUACACUGACAAUCCUAAUUCAAAAGAACCACCAUACUCCACCAUAAAAAUUAUACUUCACUUGAAGCCAAACCACUUCAAAAAAAAUGUCUCCAUGUCGAAACCAUGCUGAAAAAUAUAGUGCAACCUCCAUCUCCAUGUAGGUUUUCUCAAGAAAUUCUCUAGCAACCGACAUAAUUUAACCACACAUCUUGCAUCAAUGACAACCAAUGUUCAUGUGUUAGCCAACACAUUGUGUAAUUCUGAUUGUAUCAACAUAAUAUUGACUUGAAUUUUCCACAAGACAAAUAUGAUUCUUCCAUCAAAUUUCUUUAUCCCAAACACCAUAGCGGAACUUGACAUAUUGUAAUUGUGCACCAAGUAGGAUCUCAGGAAGAAAGGUGGGUCAUAAAAGACCACUUAAUAAUUAUGUCUUUCCUUAGCCAGAACUUUUCCUAAACAACACUUCUACAAUAUAACCUUUCUUUCCUAAUGUGGGAUAUCAACAAAGUUGCAACAACAUAACAUACUAAGAGUUUUGUUUCUCUAAACCAAACCAAAAGCUAUUGAUACCACUUAUUGAGGAGUUUGGAGAAGCGCGACAAUAAUAAUACUUCUCUUAUAUAUCAAAUAUUUCCUCAAUUUUUAAUCGAUGUUAGAUUAACCACUUACACUUGAACUCCAACAAUCAUAUCAUCUAACGAAAGUGACUAGUACGCAAUAUGUGAGUGUGUGUUGUAAAUGUUAGAGUACAAAUUCCAUUUCUAUUCAUAAAAAAUAUUGUUAAUGACGAGUUUUGUUUUACUUUUUCAAAACAACCUUAAAAUAGCAUGUUCAUAUUAUGUAAAGUGAGAUUUUUUAGAUUAUUUGAAUAGUUUCUCCAGUUAUAUGCAAAUGUUUAUUGUUGAAUGUUGAUCAAUUUUUCUUGUUUAAGAUCCAUGAUCAUUAUGUGCUCUGGUCCUCAUAUAGUAAUGUAUGAAUGAGAUUGGAUUUUCUCAACUAUUUAUAUUAAUUAUGCAUUCUUUUGGUGCAAUGCUAUGAAUUUGCAUUUUUUUUUCAUGCAAAUUAUUGCUUGAAAUGCUUUCUUCAUCAAGUUACAUUCAAACUAAGUUUUCUGUCUUUAUUUUCAAUUCAACUUAUAAACAAAAGUUACCACCAAAAGAGAUUUUUCACGGUGGUUUUUUAAAACAUGGAAUUAUCUUUUUUUAGGUUAGACCUUUGAAGUGUGUCAAGUUGACACUUUUAAUUCGUUUGAAAGCUACCAUAUAUAAAAGUAAUUUAUCAAUUAAUAUAUAUACAAAAUGCUCAUCAUAUUAAGUCAUGGCUCUCGGACAAUAUCUUUAUCGGUUAAUACCUUUCUUUAUUUUAUUAAUUUAAAAUUCCAUUAUGGUCGAUUCAGUUAAUUCAAUUUUUUUUAACUUUCGAAAAGCAAUUUCAAAAUAAAUUUUAAAAAAGUAGUACAAGCAUAAUAUUGAAAGAUAAAAAAAUAACCCUUUUAAUAGUGUUUUUCUUAGUUAGUCUUUACUCUCUACUCGUUCAAGACAAUGUUGUUCAGUUCAAACCAACAAGAAAAAACACAAAAGAGUUAGAAAACGAAAACCUUAAAACAAAAAACAAAAAAAAUUGAUAGAGAAAGGUAAAAACAAUAUUCAACGGAAUCUAGGAGUUUAAGAAAUAUGAUAAUGACAAAGUUAUAGAGCUAUAAGAACGAGUGAGUUGAGAAAUUCAGAAACAGAUAAGAACUUACGAGAAUGAGAGAGAAGACCAGAGAGGCUAGUGCAAAAAGGAACUUACGAGACUGAAAAAGAGGACCACAACAACUUCUGGUCAGAGGAGAGGAAUUAUGGUUGAUUUGAAAUAUUUUUGUUUUUAUAGAGAGGACCUGGUGACUUGGUUUGUGAUGUUCAACCGUAGUUUGUACAACGUAACAACAUCGGCAGGAACAACAAUGUGUGGAACAUAACAACAUUCUAUGGAAAACGUAACAACACCUGCAAAAAAACGUGUGUACAACGUUACAACAUGUAAUUUGAUGAAUCUGCACAACCUAUGUUAAAAAAAAAUUCAUAUUGCAUUUAAAAAACUAUAACGAAAAAAAUAGAAAAUGUAAACCCUAAAAUAGAAAGCAGAAAAAAAAAAUUAAUAAAGAAAAAGAAAGAAUGAGAAUGAGAAAAAUAUAAUCACAAUAGUAAUAUAAAAUUCAAGUAAAAAUAGAGUAAAAGCAUAAUAUUGAAAGAUAAUAUUAACAAUCUUUUAAUAUCCUUUGUUAAUCUUUACCCUCUACUCGAUCAAACCAAUGUUGUACAGUUCAGACUAACAAGAAAAACCACAAAAGAGUUAGAAAAUGAAAACCAUAAAACAAAAGAAAAAAAAAAUUGAUAGUAAUAAAUAAAAACAAGCUUCAACAAAAGUUGUGAGUUUGAGAAAGAUGAUAAUGACAGAGUUGUAGAACUCUAAGAACGGGAGAGUUGAGAAAUUAAGUAAGAGAUACGAACUUAGUGAGAUAGAGGACCACAUCAGUUAUUGUUCAGAUGAACUUACAAGAGUGAUAGACAAGACCACGACCGCUACUACUCAAAGGAGAGGAAUUAUGGUUUAUUUGAAUUUUGUUUUUGUUUUUAUACAUAUUGUUUCUUAAGUAGAUUGAACUGGACUCUUAAUGAGUUUUCCGACUCGGUCGAGUUUAGGUGCUGACUAUUAUUAUUUACAAAUCUGAAUCGACCCACCUACACCCAUUUGUACCCAUAAUCCAACUAGAUGACCUAGUUUGUGAUAAGAAUAAGAAGAAGAAGUCUUUACUCUUUCCAACUAAUGUUGUUCAAUUCAGACUAAAAAAGAAAAAACACAAAAGAGUUAGAAAACGAAAACCUUAAAACAAAAAACAAACAAAAAAUGAUAACGAAAAGAAAAAACAAGAUUCAGAAGUUCGGAAUUUGAGAAAGAUGACAAUGACAAGGUUGUAGAACUUUGAGAAUAAAAGAGUUGAGAAAUUGAGAAAGAGAUAAGAAUUUACUACAAAAGUGAGAGAGUGACAAGGAAGACCAUCGUAAUUACUUUUCAGAGGAGAUCAAUUAGGGUUGAUUUGAUAUAUUUUUUUUUUUUUUUGCUUUUAUACUUAAAGUUUCUUAAGUAGAUUGAAUUGGACUCUUAAUGUGGUUUCUAACUUGGUUGGGUUCGGGUACCAACUUUUGUUAUUUACAAAUCCGAAUCGGCCCACCUGCACCCACAUGUACUCGUAUUCCAAUCCGAUGACCUGGUUUGUGAUGUUCGACCCUAGUUUGUACAACGUAACAACAUCGAAGAUAUUACGGUCAGUUACUUUUACCGCUAAAUUGCUUUUGUUCUUUUAUUAAUUUCAAAUUCCAUUACGGUCAAUUCAUUAGAUUCAAAUUUUUUUGACUUUCGAAAAAAAAAAAUUCAAAAUAAAUUUCAAUCACGAAGAGAUUAUUAUGCUUACACUUGCUUCUCUGACGUCAUUCAUAUACAUAGAAACAUGUGAUAGUGCAAAUGUCAUUUUUCAUAUUUAUAAAAAUACAUUUGUCACUUUCAUUCACACUCAUUCAAAUAAUCAAGUUAUCAAAUUUUUCAUUUCAAUGCUUAAGAGCUUAUUUAAUACCAUAAGUAGAUUUAUCUAAGUUUACAUAUCUUGUUUUCUUGAACAUGAAUCACAAAACUUUCACGUUGUUCCAUAUAGAUUUCUUCUUACAAGUCACCAUUUAAAAAAAAAUGGUUUUGACAUUCAUUUGGUGUAUCUAAGUUAUGAACAACCUAUAAUGAGACGAGUACCCCAAUGGAUGUAGUUCUAGUGACCAGUGAAAAAGUGUCGAAGAAAUCCAUAUUUUCUCAUUGUCUAAAACAUUUGGCUACAAGGCGAGUCUUGUAUUAAUCAAAAACUCCAUCAGGUUUUAGUUUCUUUUUCAAUUCUCAUUAACAACCUAUUGGUUUGCAACUAGUAAGCAAUUCUACUAAAUGUUAAAUCUUGUUAGACUCUACAGAAUCUAUCCCAUCUUUUAUAGCUUAUUGCCAUAAGUUUGAAUUCAAAGAUGACAAAACUUCUUGAAGAUUUGCAUGAUCUUUUUCAAAGGUAUAGACCGUAUAAUCAAUUUUGUAAUCUUUAGCAACUAUGACUCUCUUACUUAUUUGAGGUUCUAUUUCGUCUUGUUUGUUGAUUUCAAUGCUCUUCGUCACAUGAGCGUAACUUGGUUCGUUGCCUCCACUAUUUCUCGAUUUGAAAAUGAAUUUAUUUUCAUAUAAGUCAAUAUCCUUUGCAUUUAGGUCAUAAUACCUAUAUGUUUUGCUCUUUACUGUACAUCCAAUUAAUACACAUUCAUAUGUUCUACUGGCGAGUUUAAAUCACUUGAGAUCAGAAAUUCUGAUAUAAGUUAGACAACCCCAAGUUCGGUUGUCUUUUCUUCAAAAUCUCAUAACGAGAUGUUUUAGUUUUUAGAUCUAUGAACUAUAUUGUGAACUAGGUCGCUUUCUUUAAGAUAUUUUGCGAAACUGCUCAAAUUGUGCAAGACACACUUUCAACUAUCCACCCCGAACUCCUUAGGAUAAAACAACCCAGAUGUAUUGGAGUUCAAUGAAGAAAAUCAUUCAUGAAAUACACCCUCAAUAUGGCAAGUUAAAGCCACCUAUAACAUGAUUAUGAACACUAAUAACUACGCCAUAAAAAACCACGAUAUUAGAACCACUCAAAUAAUAGAAAGACAACGAGAAAAGAGAAAGUUAGGAAUUGCAUCAACUUUGGUUAUUAUUAUUAUUAGGCUAAAUAUCACAUGUGGUCCCUUAACUUAAUUUUAGUUAACGUUUUAGUCCUUUAUCUUUUUUUUUCUCCCCAUUUAACUUAAUUCCGCAGAUGUAAUUUAGCUUUAUUAUUAUUAUUAUUAUUAUUAUUAUUAUUAUUAUUAUUAUUAUUAUUAUUAUUAUUAUUAUUAUUAUUAUUAUUAUUAUUAUUAUUAUUAUUAUUANNNNNNNNNNNNNNNNNNNNNNNNNNNNNNNNNNNNNNNNNNNNNNNNNNNNNNNNNNNNNNNNNNNNNNNNNNNNNNNNNNNNNNNNNNNNNNNNNNNNNNNNNNNNNNNNNNNNNNNNNNNNNNNNNNNNNNNNNNNNNNNNNNNNNNNNNNNNNNNNNNNNNNNNNNNNNNNNNNNNNNNNNNNNNNNNNNNNNNNNNNNNNNNNNNNNNNNNNNNNNNNNNNNNNNNNNNNNNNNNNNNNNNNNNNNNNNNNNNNNNNNNNNNNNNNNNNNNNNNNNNNNNNNNNNNNNNNNNNNNNNNNNNNNNNNNNNNNNNNNNNNNNNNNNNNNNNNNNNNNNNNNNNNNNNNNNNNNNNNNNNNNNNNNNNNNNNNNNNNNNNNNNNNNNNNNNNNNNNNNNNNNNNNNNNNNNNNNNNNNNNNNNNNNNNNNNNNNNNNNNNNNNNNNNNNNNNNNNNNNNNNNNNNNNNNNNNNNNNNNNNNNNNNNNNNNNNNNNNNNNNNNNNNNNNNNNNNNNNNNNNNNNNNNNNNNNNNNNNNNNNNNNNNNNNNNNNNNNNNNNNNNNNNNNNNNNNNNNNNNNNNNNNNNNNNNNNNNNNNNNNNNNNNNNNNNNNNNNNNNNNNNNNNNNNNNNNNNNNNNNNNNNNNNNNNNNNNNNNNNNNNNNNNNNNNNNNNNNNNNNNNNNNNNNNNNNNNNNNNNNNNNNNNNNNNNNNNNNNNNNNNNNUUAUUAUUAUUAUUAUUAUUAUUAUUAUUAUUAUUAUUAUUGGUUAGAUACCAAGAAAUAUACCCAAAGAUCGUACCUCCAUUUUAUAAACAAUAUAUAUACAAACUUCUACAUAUUUUUCAAUUCACAAUAACUAUAAGUUUCAACUUAACUUAAUUUCAAUAUGAUAUGGUACAUGAAGUAAAGGACUACUCAUUGACCAUAAGAGUUAUAACUUGGAUGUUGGUCAUGAUAUGUGUAUCUUUAUAAAUCAUUGGGUUUAUGGGGAUAUAUGAUUGGUCCUUGAAAAAAUCAAGUUUCACAUAAAUUGUCUUUAUGUUCAAAAAAAUAAAAAAUUAGACUACACAAUUGUUUAUGAUACAUGUUUUAGGACUAGGACUGAAAUUCAAAAUACUUUUUAAUAUUUGUACGACUAAAAACAUACAUACACAAUUACGAGGUUACAAAUUUAAAUUUAAAAAAUAAUGUAUAAUAUAAUAAUAUUAAUAUUUGAUAAUUGAAAUAGAACUUAAAAGACAAGACAAUUUAUUUUAUUUACAAAUAAUAGAUCAAUUAUUUAUUAUUUGUCUUUGUAUAUAUCCUUUAUCUUUUAAAAUGCAUAUAAAAUUACCUUAUUUUUUAUUUUUACUUUUCUGUCCAAAAAAUAAGAACCUAACAAUUUUUAUCUUCAAUUUAAAAUAAUAUUAUUUUAAUAUACAUAUUUAAUUAAAAAAAACUACAUUUAACUUUUCAUUAUAACAUGAUAUCAAUUUUUAUCUAUAAUUUUGUUUACUAAGGAACCCUUAAUAUAAAACGUAGCGAACAAUAUUGAAAACAUUGUACAACAAUUAUAGUUUAGUGAAUCAUAUAUUAUUUAUUAUUAUUAUUAUACUAUUUUAAAAUAAAACAUAAUAAAAAAUGUAUUUAAAAUUUGAAAUUUAAUUUAAUUUUUAAUUAAAUGUAUCAAUUUUUUAAUGCUGUUUCUAUUUAUAUUUAUUUCAAAAUAAAUAUUACAAUAAUUAAUAAUUAUUGCACCUAUAAUUUUAAAUGAAAGGAAGAAAAAUAUGUGAAAGAGAAUAUUCCACCAUAUACCAUACCAUGGCCCAACGGCGCACAAGUGAAAUCGAAAUCUACACAGCUGUCUCAUGAUAGGAUUCCACGUAGCCCUAACUCUAACCCAAAUCCUAACCCUAGUUGCGGAAUCCCCUGCUAUAAAUACCCUUUGCGUUCAGUGUAGAAAAUAUCUUCUUCAUUUCUAUUCACUCUAUCUAUCAUUUUAGUUUCUCAUCUUCUUUCAAUGGCCUCUUCCGCUGUUGAGUACCGUUGUUUCGUUGGUGGUCUAGCCGGUCCCCCCGACAGCGACGCCCUAGCCAAAGCCUUCUCUUCCUACGGCGAAGUUACUGAUUCCAAGGUCUGUUAGUUGCGGCGGAUCUGACACGAUUAUGAUUCGGAUUCUUCUCGAAACCAUUCUGAUCUGUGAUCUUUGAUCUGUUGUGUUACUUGAUCUAUUAUUUCACUGUUUCUGUUACUGUUACUAUAUCAUGAUUCUUUUAAUACUCACACCAAUAGGUACGUUCAUCUUCGUCUUUUAUACAAAGGAGAAGAUCGAUCGGUUACUAUUCGGUUAUGGAUCCGUUUUUUUGUUGUUGUGAUUUUUGGAUCUGAGAUUCUUGUGUUUUUUGUUUGUUUAGGUUAUUAACGACCGUGAGACUGGAAGGUCAAGGGGUUUUGGAUUUGUGACGUUUUCAACUGAGCAAUCCAUGAGAGACGCAAUUGAAGGGAUGAACGGUCAAGAUGUUGACGGACGUAACAUUACCGUGAACGAAGCUCAGUCUCGUGGUAGCGGUGGUGGAGGCGGCCGUGGUGGCGGUGGAUAUGGUGGAGGCGGUGGAUAUGGUGGUGGACGUCGUGAAGGUGGAUAUAACAGAGGUGGCGGUGGAGGAUAUGGUGGUGGAGGUGGAUAUGGCGGAGGAGGUGGUGGUGGUUAUGGUGGUAGCAGAGAUCGUGGAUAUGGUGGUGGUGAUGGUGGUUCUCGCUACUCACGUGGCGGUGAAGGUGGUGGAAACUGGAGGGACUAGAUUUAAGUUCUUCUUGUUGGGGUUUAUGAUUAAGAAUGUUCUCCUUGUCAUGUCACUUUAGUAGGUUUAAGAAAUUAGUGGUUUGGCUAUGGUAUUUAUCAUGUUAUGGUUUUGUGUUACUGUGGUUCUCGUUUUUGUACUCUGGAUCUGGUUGUGUAUAAACGAUCGAUUGAAAGUAUAAUGAGAAAUUAGUGUCAGCAAAUUUACCAACAUGUCUUUGAUUUUCCAGUUCCUCUUGCUCUGAAUUCGAAUUAAAUUCUCUUGAUACACUUAAAUUAACAUACUGAUUUUGAGAGACUAUAACUACUAAAAGUACCACGUCUAUAAUUACUCCUGCGGUUAGACGGUGAAAAUAUGUUUUUAUUAAUCAUAAUUAUUUUUGAACUCUUAAUUAAUUUUGCAAUUUGGAAAACCAUUGUUUUAAUACAACUGCAAGUCGUAGAGUUUUCAAGCAAAUGAGCUUCCAUGUUUCAUUUGCGGCCGACAUCAAAUGUUAGUAAAACAUGAUUCUCUCUUUGUAACAUUGCCCAAACUUCGGGCUUUGGUUUUAAACUUUGAGCCUAACUGGAGCAAUGUCUCCUAUUUGUGAGCUUCUUUAUUAACCUUUAUUUCAACAUAGAAUAAAAACCACCACCUGUCAUCCCCCAAUUGAUUUAACCAUAGGACGUACUAUUGUUAAGGGUUUAGCAUUCAAAAGGAUUUUCAAAAAGUUCUCGCACUUUUUGUUUGGUGCGCCAAUUUUUCAUUACAUGGAUUGUGGGAUGAAUAUAAAAAAAACAAACUAAACCCACAUGGAGGAUUGCAAUAAAGAGACAUAUAUAGAUAGCUAUAAAUUCAAUUUAUUGUUCCUUAACGAGUGAGUUGCUUAAGAAAAUAUUCACUGUUUUUUUUUAAAUAAAUAAACAUAAUUGAUAUUCCAUAUCUAAAUAUCUUUUUAUUCGAAAUAGAAUUUUCUAUUUCAAAUUCGUUUCUAAAUUUGUCCAUACACCUUCAACAAAAUCAAAAUUCAGAAAUGAGAUACGCACGAUUUUUUUUAUUGAGGGCUGGCAAUAUCCACAAUGAUUACAAUAAGAUUCAUAAAAAAGACCGAAAUGUAACUAUAAUUUUUACGUAUCACAUGUGGUCCCUUAACUUAAUUUCAGUUAAGGAUUUAGUUUUUUAUUUAGUCCUUUAUUCCUAACAAUAUCAAAAAAAGUAUGAAAAUAUGAGUUUAUUUGAAGAUUUGCGUUACGAAAUUGAUGAAAUUUGUAUUAUAUUGAAAAAUAUAAUUAAUUUUAUGAGUUUUGUUUGAUUUUUUUUUUGAAUUUUUGUAUAAAAAAGGAUAACAUUGUUGAAAUUUUAAAACAUCAAAUAUCAAAUUGUCACUUAAAAAUAAAGAACCAAGUCGGAAAAAAAAAAAAAAGAUAAAAGACUAAAACGUUAACUAUUAAGUUAAUGGACCACAUAUGUAAUUUAGCCUUUUUACUAUUGUUUUUCCAAGUAUGUAUGAUAUCCAUAUGAGUUAAAAUUGAUGGGUCUUCAUUGUUAUAAAAUAUAAUUUUUGGUGCAUGACUCAUUAAAAUUUAUUUUUUACAAAAUAAGAGUCAAACAAACCCUCAAUGUGGAUCCAAAAAUUCAUCUUAAACCCAUAACUUCAUCUUUAUCUCCAUGAUCGGAUCUUGAAAUUAGAAAAGAAAUAAAUAAAUAAAAAUUAACCAAACUUUCCAACCCAUAACUUUUUUUGGACACCAAACCUGAAAAAGUUACAUGUGAAAAAGAACCCCAAAAUGCAAAACCAUAGGUUCAAGCAGUAGUAACAACAAAUUCUGAUGAUACAAACUUUUCUUCAACAAUAGUCUUUCUACCACCUUGUCUCCAAGAUCCACCUCAAGUAGGUUCCUAUUAUCUCCUUUUUUUUUUUCUGACCAUUUUUAACAUUUUUUUUCUUUCACCGGGUUGAUCUUAUAUACAGCUUUGCAUUUUGUCUAUCCCAAACACCUAAGAUUUUGUUGUUUAAUUUAUUUUUUAUUUUUGUUUAAUAAAUUUUAUUGGAAGUUGAGUGUGUAAUGUUACGGUGGAAGUUGAGUGUGUGUUUGAUUUACGGUGGAUGUUUGGUCUUGAUGAAAAAAAUUGAAUUUCACAAGUUAAAUUGUACCGUUUCAUUUGUUUGCAUGAAUCACAAUUGUUAAUUUUUCUGUAUUUUCACCAUACAUGUAGAAGUAUCUGGGUUGGAGAUCAGUUUCUAUUUUUUUAUUUUAUGAAUUUCUGGAUUUUUGUAUUGAACAAUAUGAUAAGUGCUGUAUUUUUGUAUUGAACAAUAUGAAAAGAUACGAAAUGUAAAACUAAGUUUUAAAAAAAUAAUGUUUCGAAUUUUUUAAAGUUUUAAAACUUUUGUUUAAAGUAAUUUCGAAAAUUUUAAAUUAAUUCAAAAUUUUAAUUUUUUUUUUAAUUUAAAACAUUAAAAAUAUAAUCUCUUGUUUUUUAAUUUUUUUUUAAAGUUUCAAACAAUACGAAAUUUCUAAAAUAGAAAAUUGGUUAAAUAGUAUCUGAUCCUUUAACUUAAUUACUUUUUUUUUUAUUUGAUCAUUUAUUUUUAUUUUAAGUGACAAUUUGAUCUUUUGUGUUUUAAAAUGUCAACAAAUAUUAUUUUUUUUUUACAAAAAUUUAAAAUAUUUAUUAAAAUCUUUAAACAAAACCCAUAAAAUUAAUUAUCAUAUUUUUUUAAUUAUUAUUUAAUAAAUUAUAAAUAACUAAAAUAUUUAAAAAUUCAAAAUAUUAUUAAUAAUAAUAAUAAAUUAAAUAAUAUUAUUAAUUUUAAUAAUAACAAUAAUAGUAAUAAUAAUAAAGUAAUUUAUAUUAAUAAAAUAAAAUUAAUUAAAUUGAACAAACAAAAUACAUUAAAUUAAAGAAAAAAAAUGCCACAGAUAAAAAAAAAUAGAGGAAGAAGUUAACACGUCGUUUAUUUUGACACAUUUAUUUAACUGUAUUUUUUUUCUUCUCCAAAUUAGUAUUUUUAUUUUAAUUUUUUAAUAGUAAUUUUAUUUUUUUAGUUAUUUUUAAGUUAUUAAAUAAUCAAUAACUCAAUUGUUCACAAAAUAAUAGUAAGUGUUAAUUUAACUGCAAAAUAUAAUUGAGUUGUCAAAAUAAUAUAAUAUUUAUUUAUUUAUUAAAUUAUAAUAAAAAUAGGACAUAAUUGUUAAAAAAAUACGCUGUUGGUUUAUCGGCAAAAUAUCAAGGACACGUUAUUUGUUUUUGCACAUUACAAUAACAACUUUAUCAUAUUAUAAAAACUCCAUCCUCUUUGUUUUGACACGUUAUUAUAAUAACUUCCUCGACACAUUACUAUAACAACAUCCUACUAUUUUUUUUAUCUAAUAUAUAAAAAUUAAUGAAAAUAAUAAUAAAAUACAAAUUUGAUGUAUUUUUUGUUUAAUUUGUGGUAUUUUUUCUUCUUUAAUUUAACGUAUUUUGUUUUUUCAAUUUAAUUAAUUUUAUUUUUUUAAUAUAAUUUAUUUUAUAAUAAUUAUUAUUAUUAAAUUAAAAUUAAUAAUAUUAUUAAAAUUAUUAUUCUUCUUAUUAUUAUUUAUUAAUUUAUUUUAUUUUAUUAAUAAUAUUUUGAAUUUUGAAAUAUUUUAAUUAUUUAUAAUUUAUUAAAUAAUAAUUAAAAUUGUUAAUAAAAUGAAAAUAAAAAUAUAUAUAUAUAUACUAGUAGAUGGUCGCAUCCCCUGGAUGCGACCUUCUGUUGAGGAUAACAAAAAUUUUGUUUAGAUCGUCGCAUUCUCAGGUUACGAUCAGCAAUUGAGCUUAAAAAGUAGGACAUUUAUAUAUUAUUUUUUAGAAGUGUGACAUUUUGAUGAAAAAAAAGGGAUAUUAAAAAAAAAAUUCAUCAAAUGCAUAACUCAAAUAUUUAAAAUAAAUUCAUAUUUUCAUUUUCAACAACGUCAAAUUUAUCAAAUAAAGAAUGAAAACAUUUAUAGUCAAUCAAAUUUUCAAAAAUUUAAAUUUUUUCAAUAAAUUUUACUAAAAUUUUAAAUAUAUGAAUAAAUUAAAUUAAAUUUUUAUAUAUAAUAAAAAUAAUAAAUAAACUAUUUAAGUAUAUUGGAAGGUGAGAGGUCACAAGUAAAAAUCUCUUCAAAUAGAGAGUAAUAUGUGGCAAUUGUGUUAUAAGUCAGCUAAAUAAGGAGGCCCAUCACUUGUUGGCGGCCGUGUAAUACUAGAUCUAGUUGUACUAGGCUACUAGUUCAGAAAACAAGUUUAUUAUUAUUUAAUAAUUUAAAUAAAUAAAUUUUGGUAAAAAAAAUUAAUGGUGAGCCUCCAAUUUCCUCUGUCUUUUAUUAUAAUUUUAUUUGAAUUAUUAUUUGGCCCCUGCUACCAACUAGUCCUAGCUUUGCCUCUGAACAUACCGACACAUAAAAUAAAAAAAAAACUGAAAAAAUAAGUUAUGUAUUGUUGUAUUUAAUUGUGGUUGAUUGUAAGUGUAAUAUAAUUUUACAUAUAUGAUGGAUAAUAUUUAAACUCUUUUACAUUCUAUAAAAUUAGUGACUUUUAUAUCCUUUAAAAAAGUAUAUAUGAUUGUUAUGUAUUAUUUGGUUGCAGUAAAUGUGCUACAAAUGAAAGAAACAAAAAAGAAAGUUUCUAAUAAUUUGAAACAUAUUUUCACUGAUAAUUUGUUGAAAAGAUUUCACAAAUUGAUUAACUAAUGUAUAUAAUUGAUCUAAAUAUCGUGAAACGUUUUUCAUUAAUGCGUAAAUGAGAACCUUUUGUUUAGAAUUUAGAGAAACAACGUACAAAUAUGAAGUGUAAAAAAUUAUUGUUAAUUUGUUAUAAUUGUUCUUAUUUUUUGGCGAUAAUAUUAAAAAAAUUAUUAUAUUUUUCUAUUUUGAUGUCCAACCUAAAAAAGAUAUAUAAUAAUACUUCAUCUUCAAUUAAUUAUAUUUUUCUUAUUUUAAGUCAAUGUUACUAUAAAAAUAUUAAAUUUUAUUAAUUAGGUAGAUGUAUAAAUAUUUAUUUAUUGUAUGAUUUUUGUACUUAGAUAUAAUUAAUAUAUUAUAAUUAUUUUUAUUUUUAUUUUAAAUAUAUCAAUAAAUUAAGAAAUUAAAAUAAAUUAAUUAAUGACAAACAUUUGUUCUGUGUAUGAAUUGUAUAUGUUCUAUUAGUUUCUUUAUUAACUUUUUUUUUAGAAAAAUAACGUAAAUAAAUUGAUGUGUGAAAAAUUUAUUGUAGAUUAUUAUAAUUGUUUUUAUUUUUUUUAAAGUUAUAUUUUAUUAAUUAGGUACAUAUACAAAUAUUUGCCAUGUGCAUAGUUUUUAUAAUAAAUUAUAAUUAGUAUAUUGUUGUUAUUCUAAUUUUUUAUAAGAUAAAAAAAAAAUUAAUUAAUGAAUUGCUUAGUGAUUAACUUUGUUCUAUGUAUGAAAUAUACGUUUUCUCUAUUUUUUGAUUGAAAGCAAUAAAUUCAUGUAUUUUUUGGGAUAAAUUAACAUGUUGCACAUCUUAAAAUUGUCAGAAAAUAAUGUUCAUAUACAUGCUCAUUUGCUUAUCGGAAUUUUACACUAAAGCGUGACUUUGUUUCUUUUGAGCUUCAUUGAUUCACUAUUAAAUUAAUUAAAAAAUAACAGUUCAUUAAUUUUUAUUUAUAUCUAAAAAAUACUCUAUAACUUUUAUUUAUUAUUUUAAUUUUGAUUUUAAAUUAUAUAUCGUAAUAUAAUAACCAAUGUUGGCUACCUAUAUACACAAAAUAGACACAUUAACUUUUUUUUAUAAUAAUAAUAAAAUAUUUCUUAUAUUUAGGAAUGAUGGAGUAACAAAUAUAUAUGUGAAAAUAUUAUCUCUUAUUCUUAUUUGAUGAUGUUUGUAUGAUUGUGUAAUAUAACUUUGACAUAAUAAAUUGUGUAAUCCUUUUAAGUUUGUACGAAAAUAUCAAAUUGAUAUUUUAAUUUUUUUUUUAUAUCAAGUUAGUCUAUAAUAUUGAAUAAUUUUCAGUCACAACCUCAUUUCAAUCAUUUUUAUUUAUAGAUAUUUAAAAUGGUACUACGAAUUUUGUUUUUAAUUAUAUAAAGAACAACAUAAUAAUUUUUCAUGUGAUCUCAUGAUAUAGAUAGAGAGAAAUUUACAUUUAAUUUUAAGAAUCCUAAAAUCUAUUUUACAUAAAUUAUCUCUUGUUUAAUUAUUUUUCUAAAAUUUGAUUGAGAAUUUUUAUUCUUAUGACCGUUGCAAUCAAAUUCCCUUCAAAAUUACACAAGUUUACUGAAAAAAUUGAGAGAAUUUUAAAUUUUAAUUUUGUUUAUUUGAAAUUAAAAUAAUUAAUAUAAAAAUUUAUAAAUAUAAAUGACGAAUUUAACACUAAAAAAAUAAAUAACUAAAUUAUUACAAAAAAUAUAAAAAUUUGAUAUAUUAUUUUCCUGUAACUUAGAAAAUCAGAUAAUAUAUUUUGUAACUAUAAAUUUUCAACCUAUAUUAAUUUUUUGUUUUAUGAAAUGAGUCCUACUAUAUUAUUUGAGCUAUGUGUUACUUUAAGAUUAUUAUUAUUAUUUUUUAAAAAUAUUUAUAUAUAUUAGUAUUAGGGGACUCUUAGGACCAAUUCAAUUUUGCCUUUAGAUCAUUCCGUCUAUAUUAGUGUAAGUUGAAACUUAAAAAUUUGUCCAAUCUAAUUUGAGAAUUGAGUAAAUAAAAAAUAAAACCUGACCUAAAGCGUCUAAAAAGUGGGAAUAAAAAAGAGAAAAUUAUUUGAAAGAGAAUCUCGAUGGAUGUCCCAAUAGCCCAUAAAUAAUGAAGAUGGGUAAAAGCGACAGCAACGCAACGGGAGUGAUGCAGUGCUAAAUCAUGCUAAGUUUAACCUAACCCACGCCGUAACCCUAGUAGUUUUUUACAUACAUUCGUAACCGUAGUUAAAACCUUGGGUAGAGGAUAAAAAAUAUCUUUGUGUUCAUUUACAACCGUAACCCUACCAGUACCACACCCCCUUCUAUAUAACUGCACCUUGACUGAAGUAUUGAAAAUAUCUUCAUUUCUAUAAUUGUCUAGUCUUUUUCUUUCUCUCCUAAAAUCUAGGUUUUGUUCAUUUAUCAAUGGCGUCCGCAGAUGUUGAGUACCGUUGCUUCGUUGGUGGACUUGCAUGGGCCACCGAUAGCGAUGCCCUUGAGAAAGCCUUCUCUCAAUACGGAGAGAUCGUCGAUUCGAAGGUCCGUUUGUUGCAGGCGGAUCAUACACGAUUUGGAUUCCUAUUCUGAUCUGUGAUCUUUGAUCUUUUGUGUUACUUGAACUAUUCUGUUACUGAUUCUGUUACUAUAUCAUAUGAUUUUGUGUUACUUGAUCUAUUACUCACCCCUAAUAGGUACGUUCAUCUUCAUCUUUUAACAAAAAGGAGAAGAUCGAUCGGUUACUAUUCGGUUACUGCUUUGUUUUCGUGCUUUCGUACUUUUUUUUCUUAGAUCUGAUGUUUGUUUAUUAUUUAACGUGCAGAUUAUUAACGAUCGUGAGACUGGAAGGUCAAGAGGGUUUGGAUUCGUGACAUUUGCUAAUGAGAAGUCAAUGAGGGAUGCUAUUGAAGGAAUGAACGGACAGGACAUGGACGGACGUAACAUUACUGUUAACGAAGCUCAAAACCGUUCAAGUGGCGGUGGAGGAGGUGGUUACGGUGGAGGUCGUCGUGAAGGUGGAUACAACCGAAGCAGUGGUGGUGGUGGAGGCUAUGGUGGUGGAGGUGGUUAUGGUGGUGGUAGGGACCGUGGAUACGGUGGCGGAGGUGGUGAUGGUGGUUCCCGUUACUCACGUGGCAGCGGCGGUGGCGGUGGUGGUGGAAACUGGAGAGAGUAGUUUUGUAAGCUAAGUCUCGUGAUGAAGUUUUUAUGGUUAAUUAUGUUUAGUUGAGAUUUUAGAUGGUGGGAUCUAGUAGUCUCUGUUAUGGUAUCUGUUUUGUUAUGGCUUUCUGGUUCUUGUUCGUGUACCUCUCUGAAUCUGGUUGUUGUGUAUAAACGAUCGAUUGAAAGGAUAGUGAGAUUUUAGUUGACGACUAAUUUCUUCCGAAUUUUGUUAGUAUGUCUAUUUUCGUAGUUACUUUAGAUCAUGAACAUCAGAUUAGUAAUUUUAAUAUUAAUGAUUAAAAAUAAGUUAAUUAAACAAAGGAGGCUAGAAAGCAUAUUAAAUAUGUAUUUGAGAAUUCUUCGGAGUUUAAGGAUUUAAAGGGACUUAUGUCAAAAUGCAGCACCAUGUGUUAAUCAUAAACAUAGAUGAAUAUCUAUAAAAUGACACUGAUUAUGGAGAUGAGAGAACAACUUCAUAAUGGACGGAAGAGGCCCAUUGUUGCUCGAUGAGACAUAUAUAGAUGUGGUGAAGAUUGAAGAUGUUGAUUCGGUUCCUAUCUCUAUCGUGUUUUAGAUAUCUCUAUCAACACCAAAUGAGAAUGUAAACUGUACAAUUUUCGACGUCGUCCUUAGAAUUGUUUGUGAAGUCGGCAAAUAAAUUGUUUCUUUGAUUAAGAAAUAUGGUCUAAAAAUGCUAAAAUCUACUUUUAUUAUAGGCCUUAUGAUGUGAAAUGCAUGAAGUUCUAAUUACAUGUAAUUCAAAUCCUAUUUUUAAUAUUUUCCUGGAUAUUUCCCAACAAAAGAAAUGAAGCAAAAAAGGAAUAGACAUAGUAUCUAGAUUUUGAUAUUUCUAAAGAAGUAAAAUUUAAUUUUAAAAUUUGGAAGACUAAAACAUAUACACAGAGAGGAGGAAGCCAUUUCACUUGGAAGAAGGAGAUCCUAAAUGUUUUGAAAUAUCUCACUCAUGUGUCCAACAUCCUGUUGUCAACUAACACGAACAUCCGGAAUCCAAUCGAAUUUGUCUUCCAAAUUUUUCAACUCUAGCUAAAUGUCGCUGUUACGAGACACUAGCUUAGCAUAUAUUGAUAGUCGUUGUAAUCUCUAACUGAUAGCUAUCUGUUAGUUACAAAAUGAUUCAUGUAUGUUAGUUAGUAGAGCCUUUGUAAUCAAUAGUUGAAAAAUAUAGAAAUCCAUUGUAAUAUGAGUGUGUAUCUUUUACAAUAAAGCAAGAUGAAUGCUCUUCAACAUGGUGUCACUAGCGAUCAGAACCUAAUCUUCGUCUUUGUUCCAACAAAAUCUUUUUGCUUCCACAUCCUCUGUAAUUCUGUCCUCGAAUAUCAUCAUCAUCAUUCAACUCAUCCAAUCAAGAAUUCAAUAUUUAAGAUUGUUGGAUAUUGGACUCCCUUUCUAUGUGGAUAAAUGUUCAAAUAUGGUUGUCCAUUUGUCUCACUUAUUCAAGUGGAGAGGAGUUUGAUUAUGGUUGUCAAAAGAGAAAGAUUAUUUUGAGAAAAAAAAUAGCCACCAAAAGAGAAAAGAGAAGAGUAAACUCAAUUCCCGAGUUUGUCAAACCAAUCUUAGUAACACAUCGAUUGCGUAUUCGUUAACCGUUGGAUCAUACUGAUUUUUGGACAACAAGUUCACAACAUAGAGGUCUUCUAUUUCAAUUGGCGGAUCGACGACACAACGUCCGAAGAGGGAGGAUAGUGCUCGCACAAUAGCUUUGUUAUUUUGGCUGGUUGUAGGUAUAACUUAUGCAUCAUUUUGAGACAAUCUUGUACCUUUAUAUGAUUAUAGUUGAGGUGUUUCUUUGAUCUGGACGUCUCGUGGUUUUUAUUCUUGCAUUGAUGGAUUUUUCACGUUAAAAUAUCGGUGUUCUUUACGAGCUUUUUUGGGAUCCAAUUUGCUUCCAUAUAUUUGUUGUUGCUCCUCACGGGUUCUUGCGAGUUGAGGGAAUUUUAUAUUCGCUGCAUAUUGCUUGUUAUCGUGUUUAUGUGUUUUUUCAUAUCAGAGUGGUAUAAGAGCUCUUGGUUAAAAGACUAUUUGACUUGUUUGAAGAAUGAAGACAAAUAUGAAUAUAAAGAUGGUACGCUUAAAUGGUACUACUUACCAUUUGUGGAAAGGAAAGAUGAAAAAUUUGUUAUUUGUGAAGAACACACAUCUUCCUAUUUUUUUGUUCUAAAAAGCCAAAUGGUAAAUCUACGGAAGAAUGAGAUUUUGAACAUCAACGAGUAUGUAGUUUUGUUAGACAAUAUGUAGAAGAUAAUGUUUAUAAUCAUAAAGCUAAUGAGACAAAUGCAAAAACUAUGUGAGAGAAGAUACAAACUUUGUUUGUUUCUAAAUGAGGGAAUAAUAAAUUGUUCUUGCUGAAUAGUUUCAUAAGUUUGAAGUACAAAGAGAAGACGUCUAUUGGGUAUCAAGUUUGAUAAUGAGCUAUUGGAACAAUUUCUAUUGUUAUCUUUACCAGAGUCUUGGGAGACAUUCCAGAUUUCUAUAACUAGUUCAACUUCUAAAGGUGUUAUUUCUUUGGAAACAACGCCAAAAACUUGACAGCGUUUUAACAAGUGUACUGAAUCGUUGUAAUUAAUAAUAAAACGAUAGUACCGAGUGUCGAACUCAAGUAUUGCGUUUUACUAUCAAAUUAUGUUUAAUUACUAAAACUGAACAAAAAAGUUUAUGACUUUAUUGAUAUUAUGUUUGAAACUACCAAGAGUAAUAAAAUUGAACUUUUAUAAUAAGAAAAAUGUCGGGGAUAAGUUUCACUUUGAAUUCAACCUUGGUUUCUAUAUUGACCCUAGUUAAUAAUUUCCUUUAUUUAACUAUUACCAAAUUCUCUUUAUUAUUCUUUAUCUAAUGUCUUAGUGACAUAACCUUUAAUUCCAAAAUAACCUCUAAUUUCUUAGUGGAUUUAAUAUUAGAAUUAACCUUUAUAGUACAAUAAUUCUCUUAUUAAACUAUUACCUUUGCAAAUAAUUCAAUUGGUUUCAUGACCUACAUCUAUCCCUAGACUAUAAUAUCAUGAAUUUCUCAUCUCAAGCAUUCGUAAAGUCCACUUCAAUUUCAAAAUACGAAUCGUAAAAUAAUUUAAAGUCGAUCAAGCAAUAAAAAUCAUUAAGCUCAAAGAUAAGAAAAAUAAUUCAAUAAACUCAUUAUUAUAACUAGAAAUCAAAUCAGACAAAUAAGAGUUUAAUCUUGUUUGACUCAUCCCUAACAAAUAUGAUUUAAUUACGACAAAGAUACAAAAGAUAUAGAUUAAAGAAGAAUUAUAUGAAGGAUUCAUAAAUGAUUCUUGAUGAAACUACUUCAAGGGUGUUAGAACCAGUUGUAUGUGAGUUUCUCUGCUAGGGCAUAAAUCUCCAAACUUCAAAAUAGCAAAAAAAAAAAAAAAUCCUAAAAGUGAGAAAAAUAUAUUUUUAUGUAUUCUGAAGCACGUCAUGCGUUCCAGGCGCGCCUGGACAGAGACAUGAUGUGAAAAUACUGUAGACACGCGCCUCAAGGACAAGCCUUUGCGCUUCAGGAAAUUAAUAUUUGUUGUCUGACGUUUACUGAUUUUUUUAGUCUUUUGAACCUGAAUUUGGUUACGGUGUUUUCAUGAAAGUUAUAACUUAUGAUCUUAUAUUUCAUUUGCACUUAGUUUGACUCCAAUUAUAUAUCUACAACUCCAAAUAUGACUAAAUGAUCCACAUAAGUCAUGUUAGUUUCUCACCAAAAUUCAGCAUUGCACAAAAACAACGAAAUAACACAAAACUAUGAAAAUCUCUAAUUAAUCAAGAAUAUAAGAACAUAAAUAUUUCAUUAUUCAAGAACUAAAAUUAUCAAACUAUAUAAAAUAAAUCCCUAAAUUAACUAAUGAUUAAAAAUAAAUAACUCUGAAACAAAGAAAAAUAUGCAUAUGAUGAAGAAUUAUCAUGCAGUGUCAUGAAUGAGGAGAUGAGAAGGAAGACAUGUGAUUCUUCAUCUCAGUAUGAAGUUCUUUUCACUGAAAAUAGGGGGAUAAGUAAAAGUAGGUAUAAGUCUAGAUACAAAAAUAUGGAGUGUCAUUAUUGUCAUAGAAUACGUCACAUACAGAAGAAUUGUUUUCUGCGUAAAAAGGAGAAUAAAGGCAAGGAAGAUAAGCAGAAACAAAAAGGUCGUGAUGAUGAUCGUGUUAGUAUUGCUACUAGUGGUGAUUUUGUUAUUGUCCAUGUUUAUGAAUCAAUUAAUCUUGUAUCUGAUGAGAGCAUGUGGAUAAUUGAUAGUGGUGCUACACUACAAGUUACAUUGAAUAUGAAGUUCUUCACAUCUUAUACUUCAAGUGACUUUGGAGUCUUGAAUGGGUAAUGAUGGUGUAUCUAAGGUAAUUGGUGUUGGAGAUGUAUGCUUGCAAAUCUAAAUGGGAAUGCAAUUAUUUCUUAAAGGAGUCAAACAUGAUCCAAAUGUUCGCUUCAAUAUGAUCUCUAUGCAUAUGCUUGGUGUUAAAGGAGUCAAGCAUGCUGCCAAUAAACACUUUAUGUUGCCUCAACAUAAGUGGCUAGUUCAUAAUUUGAAGAAAUGUUUAAACAAAAAUGACGAUGAGAUGAAGAUAAAACUUGAAUUGUCAUGAGAAAUAAAAUUUGAAAGGGGAUAAAAAAUACUUUUUGGAAGAGCAAAAUUUUUCACUUUACCUUUAGGAAGCUCACAGUAGUAAUCUUGCAAGUAAGAAAGUGGGUCAGUGGUCCUAAAGGAUUUUCUAGGAGAAAAAGGAGGGACCAUAAUUGGGUUUAAAGGUUGAGUAUUACUAACAUAUGAUGUAGGUAAAUAAUCAUGUAAAGGGUGGUUAGGAGGAAUGGUGUAGGUGGAAUGAGUUCAUAGGAAGGAUAAAAAGGAAAGAUAUCUUCAAAAAAGGUAGUAUUUCUAGAAACAAAUAUCUCUUUGUUUGGAAGGUCAAACAAAAUGUGGACUUUGGUACCAUAUUGAACACCUAGAUAAAUGGUUUUCCUAGAUCUUUUAUCCAAUUUAUUUCUAUGAGCACUUUAGGUUGGAGCAAAACUCAAAUAUCUAAAAACACGCAAAUAAGACAAAUGAGGAGUAGUAUCAUAUAAUGAAGUGAACAACAUGCUUGAUAACAUAACCCCGAAAACAAAGUGAAAUGUGAACAUGAAAAAGGAAAGCACGAGCAAGUCCUAAAAUGUGCUGGUGCUUGCACUCAACAAUUUCAUUUUGUUGGAGCGUAACAACACACAAAUUUUGAUGAAUAAUCCCUUUUGAACUAUAAAAGUCGGUAAGGAUAAACUCAACACCAUUAUCAGUACAAAUAGAUUUUAUAGUAGAAUUAAAAUCAUUCUGAAUUAAAGUAACAAAACUCUUAACAAUAUUAGAGGCUUCAGACUUAAGUUUCAUGAUAAAUAUCCAAGUAAAGCAACUUUUGUCAUCAACCAUAGUUAAAAAAUAUUUAUGACCAAACAUAGAAGGAAUCGAAAAAGGUUACCAUAUAUCCAUAUGAAUCAAAUCAAAGUAGUUAAUAACAAUAGUAUUAAUAUUAGAGAAAAGGUAAACUUUUUUGCUUCACAAAAAAACAAGUGUCACACAGAGUAUAAUAUUUAUUACUGGGAACAAAACGAAAAAUAUUUUGAAUAUAAACAAGUUUUUGAUGAGAAAGAUGCCCAAGUAUUAGAUGUCAAACAUUAAGGGGUUUAUGAUAAUGGGCAAUAAUAUUAGUAUUAACAUGAUGAAUAGCAUGCUUAAAAGGGGAUAAUUGGACAUAAGGGGUAGUGGGAAUGUAAAAACCAUUGAGAAUCUCAACUCCGCCAAUCAUCAUCCUAGAUUGAAUCUUCUGUAUUAGGCAAUAUUUGACUUCAAAUAUAAGGUGAUAAUGUACAUGCAACGCUAUACGAGGAACAUAAAUCAAAUUACAAAAAAGUGAGGUAUAUACAAAACAUCAUUCAAGUAGAAAUCAUCAGAGAAGAAAAUAGUGUUAUCAUAGUUAGCAUAUAUGAAAGAGCCAUUAGGAAAUUUUAAAGAAAUUGAAGGAAUUUUACGCAAUGAUUUGAAAAAUUAUGAAGAGUAGCAAAAAUUAUUGGUAGCUCCCAUGUCUAAUAUCUAAAAACUUAAUUUAGAUGUGCUGCAAGACGAACAAACAAUACCUAAAUCAUUUCCAAGGGAAGUGAUAUGAUUCGCAUGAUAACCUUGUGAAGAAGAAUUGCCCAGAAUGUGCAACAUCAAUAUGUGAAGAAGUAGUAGAAGCAACAGACUUGGUGUCUUCAUCAAUGUCAACAUCAAUAUUAGUAUGAAUGUUUACAGACCCCUUUUGAAGAUGAGCUGGGACACCAUGUUUCUUGAGACAAACAUUCUCAAUAUAACCAAUUUUGAGGCAAAAAGUGCAAGUUUUGGUGCUCCAACCACAAAUAGCAACACCUUGACUGUGAUUAGAGUUCUUGCUUCUUGAAUUGGCAUGACUAGAACCAGAAAAAGUAGCCAACAAUUUUGAAUCUUUCGUUGUUCCAAGAAACUGAUGUUCCUAUUAAAUGAACAUAAAGAUUACUUUGCUGAUGGGAGGAAGGGGAUCAAUCAACAUGAUCUGAGAACGAAAAGAGAAAUAUUGUUUGUUUAAAUCCUUCAAAAAUUGAAUAACGUAAUCACCUUCCUGAUAUUGCUUGAUAGUGGGCAAGAGUAGACAAGAACACUUGAUAGCACAAGAGCACAUAUAUAAGGAGAGGUCGAAAAAUCUCCAAUUCCUGCCAAAGUUUCUUCAAUCGAGUGUAAUAAAUGGUAAUAUUGGCAUCGCCUUGACUGAGAUUGAAAAUUUCCUCUUGAUGUUACAUAUCUUUGAGUUCUUUCCAUAUUUCAGAUGCAGUGUCCGUCCACAUAAUGUUUUGCGUAAUUUUAGGCUCCAAUGAGUGAUUCAUCCACAACAUAACCAUCAUAUUGCAUCUUCCCCAAGAAAGUCAUUGACAAUCGUCACCAAUUGGGUGAGAUAAAGAGCCAUCAAUAAACCCUAAUUUGUUCUUGGAACAGAGAGCAAUAAGUAUCAAUCUCGACUAAGAGUGAUAAUUAUCACUUGAUAAAGUGGGAGACACCAACACAAGGCCAAGAUUAUCAUUAGGAUGCAUAAAGAAGGGAUCCAACAUGUCUUGUUGGUAGUUGUGAAUCGACGCAGUGGUAGGUGGCAAUGUGGGUUGUGGAGGCGACAAAGGUGGUUUGGAUGGAGAAGAUGAAUCUGUCAUAAGGGACAUUGCAGAGAGAAAACAAAAAUUUGAAGGAAAGAAGAAAUAGUCAAAGAUUGGGAAUCUAGCUUACGAUACCAUGUGAAACUAAAUAUACCUCAAAUUUGUUAAUAGAAAAAUUACAAAAAUAAAAAACCUAUUUAUAUAGUAAAAGAAAAAAAAAAUUCUCUCUAAAAAAAGGUAAAACUAAUUCUCACAUAUUAACCGCCCUACUAACUAAUAAGGAGCUAAAACAUAGAGAAUGAAAAUAAACUAAGUUGCAUAAUCUUUAAUAGUAUUGUUGACUCUCUAUGUUCCUAAUAUUAGUAAAAAUCUCCUAUAUGUCUCCAAAUUUAGCAAAGAUAAUCAUGUCAUCUUUGAAUUUUAUUCUAGUAAGUGCUUUGUAAAAUGUCAAGAAUCUAAACAAUUCUCCUCAAAGACUCCAUUGAUGAGGAUGGUCUAUGCUACUUUAGUCACCUCAAGAUUUGAUUAUCAUAGAUUUGCUAGGCUCCAUUGAUGAUGAUGGUUUAUACUACUUUAGUCAUCUCAAGAUUUGAUUAUCAUAGAUUUGCUAGUUCUAUUCUCCGAAAUAAUGUUUUCAGUAUUUUAUGCUUUGAUACUUUUACAUCUCAUGAUUACACAACUUGACACAAUAGGUUAUUGGGAAGUUCUAUGAUAUAUUAAAAAAUUAACAUGAUUUUUUACUAUAAAAAUUAAACAAUCAAUAAUUAAAUGAUAUGUAAAAUUCAUAAUAUCGAUACACAUUCUAUUUUUAAUCUUACCAUAAAACUUGUCUAAAUUUAUAACCGAGUUUCAAUAAUAAUGCAAGAUGUAUGCUCUUCAACUAUACGAUAAAAAAUAAAUUUAUUAAUGAACCAUUUACUUAUUUUUAAUGCAAUAAAAAAAUUAAUUUUAUUAAGUUUUUGUUUUUUCUUUAAUAAACCUACUUAAGUAAUAACUAAAAAUUUGUUUGUUGGAAUAAGCCUUUGUCCUUACUCCGUAUUUCUCUACCUUAGGAUCAUAUUCCACCCAAUUUGUAUAUGUAAUGAAUCUCCACACUAUUUUUCUAUCAACGAUGAAUUAAAAGAAUCUCACAUUCUUUUUACCUAACCCCCUCAUUUAAAAUAUUCUCCCAACUUACCCAAUUUUGAAAAGAAGGAAAUACAGUAAACCAAGAUAGUUGACAAGACAAUGUGAUUAGGGCUUAAAUCUAUUAUUUUUAAAGUAAAAUUGACAAAAGGGCUUCAAUUAUAAACUUUUAUAAGAGUAAAAAAGUCAUGUAAAAAAAAAGAGAGAGAAAAAUAUUAAAAAAAGACUUUAUUAUCACUUUUUGUUUGUUGUUUUAUUAUUGUUUUAUAAAAUUUAAUUUUGUUUUAUUAUUGUUUUAUUAUUGUUGUCUUUGAAUAUAAGAUUUAAUGAAAUUAUAUAAAUUUUAAUUAAUUAAUAUAUUAAAAAAUAUAAUGCUAACACUUGUUUUUUUUUGUAUGCACAGGAUGGGUCUAUUACUGAAUAUCUAUGUGCCUGCCUCAGCGGUUUGACGGUUUAUGAAUCAAAACCUGAAUUUGACUCAAAACUGCAAUUGAUUACAUUGAGAGACCAUUAGAUAACUAUAUAUCUCUCUCUCCUUUUUUUUUUUGAAUUGUACAAUACUGAGCUUUCCUUCUGUUAGUUUAACCUUUAGAUCUUAUGUUUAGAACUUUUAUAAUUCCACAUACUAGAGAAAGGUUAAACUAAUUUCAAAGAGGUUUUUUAUGUACAUGAAUAGACGGAUACAUGAAUCUGAUUAAACAAUUUAUUCUGUUAUUUUCCAUAUACUUUUUUUUUUUGACAAGUUCAAUAUACUUAAAUUAUUAAAUGACAUUUUGAAGUAAUUGAUUUAUUUCUUCUUAAUAUACAAAUAAAAGCAUAGGAUUGCUAAGAAAACACCUUCUAACACAUACUUUUAACAUAUAUAAUCAACGUAAUUGGUUAAGAAUCAUUUGAGUUCUAUUAAAUUAAGUAGCUCCCAUAUAAAUUUAGUAGGAUCAUGUAUAUUUUAAACAAUAAAAUAAAAUAUGUUAUUAAAUGUAAUGCUGACAUUAUUCAUAAAUGAAAACAACGAAUGACUAUUUUUUUCAUGUCAUUUUUUAAAUAUCAGAUAUUUUAUUGUGUAAUUUAGCCAACAUUUUUUUUUGUCUUACAUGCACCUAUUUUUUUGUUGUUGUUGUCUUCCAUGCACCUAUUUUGUUAUCAAUGAACAUUUAACAUUUAGUUCCUUCAUUUUUUAAAUCAGUUUUUAGGUCUCUAUUGACCAAUUAUUGAUAAUUUUUUGUCCCUGUUACUUUUUAUAAUGUGACAUUCUUAUAAAUUUAUUUUUGUUGUUAUUAAUUUUAUAUAUUUAAAAUCAAUUAAUUUUAUUUAUUUAUAAAUAUAUAUUAAACUAUUUAAAUUUUUUUUUUAAAUAUUAAAAUUUACUUAUCUUAUUUAACUUUUUUUAAUAAUUUAAAAUGUUAAAAUAUUUAUAUAAAAUAGAUAAUUUUUGUUAAUUUAAUUUUUAAAUAUUUAAAUAUAAUAUUUCAUAUUUAAAUUUAUUACAUUUUUAAUAUUAUUUCAUAUUUAUCUUAUUCAUAUAUAUCUAAAAUUAAAAUAUUUAAAUAAAAUAUUUAGAUUAUUUUUUUAUUUUAUACAACAAUAAUUUAAAACUUUAAAAUUUUAAUUUUAUUUAUUUAUUCUAUUUUUAGUGUAAAAACUAUUGUUAAUAUAAAUAAAUAAUAUUUUAAAGUUUAAAAUUAUUGAGGGAUAAAUAAAUAAUUUUAAAUAUUUUAAUUUUAGUUUUAGAUAUUUUAUUUUAAAUAAAUUUAUUUUUAAUAUUUAAAUAUAUAAAGGAAAUAAAUAUUAAUAAUAUUAAAAAUGUAAUAAAUUGAAAUAUGAAAUAUUAUAUUAAAAUAUUUAAGAUUAAAAUUUAUCUAUUUUUUAUUAAUAUUUUAAAAUUUUAAAUUAUUAAAAAAAGUUAUAUAAGAUAAAUAAAAUUUAAAUAUUUUAGUAUAUAUAAAUAAAAUGUGCACUCAUGAUAUUUUCUUUCAAAUACAUUUGUGCUUAUAUGAUCUAUUAAGCCGGUUUAACUUAUAGUGUGCUAUCUCUUGUGUUGUACAUGAUAUACAUAAUCACAUAUUACAUAGGUUUCACAAUACACUUAUAUAUACACAGACUAGUUUUUCUUGUUGAUUAAACAAAAUUGAUGUUUAAGAUACACUCAUAUUAAUGUGUUUGUUAUAGUUGGGGAAUAAAUUAGAAAUAAACUCAAUAGAAAUCUCAAAUUCAACUUCUAAUAGCUCAUUUUUUUUAGUCAAAAUAAAAUUUAUCAUUUAUAAGGAUUUAGAAGGGUGUAAUUGACAUUUCCAUCACACUCCCCUUUACUUAAAACCCAAUUGUUAGAAUAAAAAAAAAUUAUAAUAAAUGAAAGAAAGAAAGAGGGAGGGAUGACCGUAUGAUACCAAGUGAGAAAAAAAAGAAGAGAUGAAAGAAGAGAAAACAGGAAACAAGAAUAUUUUAUUAUAUAAAAAAUAUUAAUAACAAAAAUAAGUUAAUGAGAGUCUACAUCAUAAAAAAUAAUAGAAGAUUAAUAAAAUUUAAAAAAAUUAGUUAACAGUAUAUAAAAAAUUGAUUUUAGAAAUAAAGAACUGAAAAUUUAGACAAAAUAAAUAAACGAAAACUAGAUUUAAUUGAGAUAUCGAUUUUUCGGCUUUCACACAUUGGAUUUGCAAAUGAAGGCCCACAUGUUGAAUCUUGAGAUAUAAUAUGAGGGAAAUAUAUGCCUGCACAAUGCCCUUCUAUUUUUUCUGGAUUGUGUUUUGUUUUGAUGCUUUAUUCGUUCUUAGUUUGCAAAAAUUGACUUUUAUACUUUUCAGAUUUUGGGUCUACAAGUUUAGUACAUUACAAAUUAAUAUUUUGCUUCUCAUCUUUUAAUUAAGUUGUUAGAAGAGUAACAAAGAAAAAAUAAGGCCUUGUUUAAGGUUGGAAAACAUAGUAUUUUUAAUUUUUAAAAUGUGUGUUCAUUUUAUUUGAAUAAAAUACUUUUAUAAUGAAACAUUUUUACUAAAAAAAAUAUAAUAUUAGUUAAUGAAAAUAUAUUUUAAAAAUAAUAAAAAUAUUUUUUAACAUGUUCAUUAUUUUAAAAAUUGAUGAGAAUUAUUUCAUUUCAAAAGUUUCUUACUUCUUUAUUAACAAAUAAAAUAAACAUAAAUUUUUUUAAAAAAAAUAUAUUUUCAUAAAGUAAAAAGAAUUUAAUUUCAUUUUUUUUUUGUUUUGACAACUUAAAACUUCUAUUUCUACUUCUUAUUUAAAACUAUUUUGACACACACUCUUCAACUUUUGUUUUUUAAAUAACAAUCUUUUUUUAAAUACUCGAUAUUUUAUUUUUUUGAAUUACAUUAAAAAGUGAGAAUCAAAAACUUAAUUUUUUUAAUCAAAUUCUUGAGUUCUUUACUAUUCUGCUCUUUAACUCAUAUACCUCAACUACCAAAUCAACUUUAAUUCUCUUUUUAAAUCACAAUUGCUGUUACAUCUGUUUGUUACAUAUUAAGAAAAUGAUUUUAAUUUUAUAUUUUUAAAAAGAUUUUAAAGAGAACCUCUUUGAAACAGAACAAAUUAUUUUAUAUUAUUUAUUAGUGUUUUAAAAAGUAAUUUUGACUAUAAGUAAUUUAAAUAUUAUUUGUUAGAUAUAUUUAACAUAAUAAUUUUUUUUAAAAGAUGUCCUCGACAAUAACUUUUAAUAUAAACUACUUAAAAUAAUUUUUUAUUUUUAUCAUUUUUUCAAAUUUUUUUUAAAAAAUUAUUAUGUAAAAAAUUGUAAUAAAAACAUAAAAUACUUACAAUGUUUUUUGUUGUUGUUGAAAUUACUCUAACUUAUUUCUCAUGUGAACUUUUUAAAUUCUACUUUUAAAAAAUUAUAACAAAAUAGUAAAAUAUAUAUAUAUAUAUAUAUAUAUAUAUAUAUAUAUAUAUAUAUAUUAAACUAUAGAAAAGGGUUCAUAAUUUAUUUUCAAUAUACUAUGAUCACAUUUCUAGGGAGACUUGGGGAAUGGGUUGAAGGAUUAAUUGACAAAUAGUAGAAAGAGUAUUAGAAAAUGCAAGAACACCACCAUAACGAAAAGUUGUUCAACCACGGUGCAUUCACCAAAUCAUGCUGAAAAACCAUAACGAUGUGAAAGCUUGGUUUCGUUGCGUCUGAGAUAUCAGAGAAGAUAAAUGUAAUUUUUCAUUAGUUUUUUGGUACAAAAAUUAAGAGUAUUAAAAAUUUAAAAUUAGUUAUAAGUUAGAAUAAGUUACGAAAUUAAUUAUUUUAAUUGAAUAUAUAAACUUCAUUAUAUUUGAUAUUUUAAUAAUUUUUCUCAUUCGAUCAAUAUAAAAGUUAUUCUAUUCACUUUUCAAUGAUUUGAUAUGAAGAUUUUAUAUAUUCUAUCUUACUUUGUGAAAUUAUUUCUUGUUUUUAUUUUUUAAAACAUGUAUUCAUUUUACUUUGAUGAAUUUUUUUUAUAUUCACACUUCAAUGAUUUGAUAUUAAGAUUUUACAUACUUUAUAAAAGCAGACCUUUACCUUGCAAAACUAUUUCUUGUUUUUAUUAUUUAAAAUAUAUAUUCAUUUUACUUUGAUGAAAUACUCUUGAAGUAAAUUAUUGUCGUAGAAAUAAUAUAAAAUACUAGUUAAUAAAGAUAUAUUUUAAAAAUUAAUAAAACUAAAAUGUAAUUUUAAUCUCCUCUAUUCUACCAAAUCUGCAAUUUUAAUCCUCUUAUUUUUUACGCACAAUUUUGAUCCCUUAUUUUUAAAAUUAUUACACAUUUGAAUCUCCUUCUAAAUUUGUUUUCAAAUUUAAUUAUGUGAUAAUUAUUUUAAUUAUGUAUACACGAUGGUUAUGAAAUUACAGUAAUAUAAAUUUUAAAUUAAAUAAUACCACUUUAAUAAUAAAAAAUUAAAUAAGAAAAAAAAUGUCAUUAAUAACAUUAAAUAAAAAAAAUUAAAAAAGAAAAGAUAAAUUCAUAACAGAUCAGUGACAAUAAUUUUAAUAAAAUAAUAUACAACAAAUAUACUCACUAAAUUAAUAUCAAAUAUACAAAAUAAACAAAUAAAAUAAGUUUUUUAAGUAAAAAAAUGAUAUGCAUUCACUGAAAUAGAUAUAACACAUCCAUAAUAAUAUUAAUUCAAAGUCUUUAAAACUUAAAAAAAUUAAAAUAAAAAAAUUGAUGAACAAACUCAGAGUAUCAAUUUUAAUAGUAUAUUAUUAUAAAAUUUCUAUAAAUGUCCCAAAAAUACCGUGAAUACUCAUGUAUGUGUAACAUUAAUGAUACUACACUCAAUGAUUUGAAUAUGUAAUUAAUCAAAACAAAUUUAUUAAUCUAAACUAAAUAAAUAAUACAACUAUAUGGAAAUUUAAUAACGUUGGGAUAUUAUACAGAAAAACAAAACAACUUCGUACGGAGGACCAAAACACAAAACAAAUACUAAAAUUGUAUAUACUAUAUUUAUUACACUACUUUUAUACGAUGAUUAUAUUUAUGAUCAAAUAAUACAAUAAAAGUUGUAUACAUGUAAUAGUUGUUAUUAUAUUGUUUACCAAUAAUUAUUUUUAAUAAAAGUUGCUCAAAUAAAAUGCAUUUCGAAUAAUUUUAUUUAGAAAAUUAUUUAUGAAAUGAUAGUUAAAAGUUGGUCAAAUAAAAUGUAUGUUAAAUAUUUUUAUUUUUUAAAAAUAAAAAUAAAAGUUAAAACAAAUACUUUUUUUUUUUAUUUUGAAAUUUUAAAAAUAAAAACAAAAAUUAUUUUUACAAAUUAAACGAUUUUGUUUGCUUAUUUAAAAAAAAGGACAUUUAUCGAGAGACAACUUCAUGUGAUCUUUUAAAUUGUUUCAUUGUAUUGUAUUAGUGUUAUAACUUUUUUACCAGAUAAGUAGUGUUACAAUUUUUUGUAUCAGAUAAGUUCUUUAAAUUAUAUUGUAUAUAUUAUUAUUAUUAUUAUUAUUAUUAUUAUUAUUAUUAUUAUUUAUUUUAUUUUUUUAUUUUAUUUUUGUUAUUGUUGGACAUUCUCUGUUAUAGAAAUACGCACGAGUGAGGAACGAAUUGGGUCGAUGAUAGACAUGACCCUACUUAUCCUUCCCUCUGACAAUUACAACUCAUUAUAUAUCCCACAAAUACAGGCUACACGUAUACGUUAAUAUACAUUAUAUAUUAUUAAGGUUGUUAGCGUUACAAAAUUAUUUGUAUAAGGGCCCCUUAAUAAGUAUCCAUUUAAAAAAAAAGACAGUUAAAUGUAAUUAAUCCAAUAGGGAAUCCUUUGACACCUGUUGUAAAUAAAAAAAAUUAUUAAAAUAAUAGUGAUAAAUUAUUAAAAUUGGUGGUGAGAAACUGAAGCAUUUCGCUUCUUUCCUCUUCACCUAUAUACCUAUCUUUUCUCAAAUAUGUAUUUAAUUUGAUCUCCAUCUCUUAGAAUUUAUACUAUUAAAAUAAAAUAAAAUUAAUACAACAACUUCUGUGUAUAGAUAAACUACCAAUAUUCGAACACACAACUCUAACACUCUAGUUAGCAACUCAACUACUAAUUGUUAUCAAAUUUUUACAUGUUAAUAUAUGAUAUAAUGUGAUACUAUAUUUUAAUUGUAAAUUAUUUUAAUUAACAUGUGUAUUUUUUAGGAGUAACACGAUGUUUAAACAUAAGAAAUUUAAUGCAUUUUUUCAAGAAGAAAGUCUUCAACAAAGAUGAAAAUCGUAAAAUGGAUAUAUUUUAUUUGAUUGAAUUGUGUUAAGUUCUAAAAACUUGUAUAAGUUGUGUGACUUGUGAAAAUAAUGUGACUUGUGAAAAUUGUAAAACUUGUGAUAAUUGAAAUUAUAACUUUUGCAACUUGUCUGUAUAAAUUGUGUGAAACUAUAAAAAAAACUAUAUAACUUUUAAGAAUUUCAAUUAUAAUAUUUUAAUUAAUAUUUGUCGCUCCGUCUCUCCAGAUAUUUUGUGCAAGAUCCUGGAGACACUUGUAUUACAUGUUCAACCAAUGAUGUUGGCGAUAGAGUACAAGGUUAUUUAGAUUUAUUUCUUUUUGUUUUGCUUCGUAGUCGAUCGAUCUAUGUGUUUAGUACCAUAUUUGUAUUUUUUUUUAUAAAAAUAAAAAUAAAGAUUGGUUUUUUUCUUCAUGUUUCGUAAUUUUUUUUAAGGUGCAUAGAGAAGUAGACUCUUAAAAGGAUUAGUAGGCUCCCUAUUUAUAAAUAUAUUAUUAUUAUUAUUAUUAAAAAAAUUAUAAUUAUUCUUUAGUUUAAAUGUGAAUUAUAUAGGAUUAAUUUAUCUCCUCUUUUAAUAUAAUUUUGGAUGUAGAAGAUUUAUUUUUCUUCCCUCUUAACACAAUUUUGGAUACAGAUUAAUAUUCCACAAUUAAAUGUGCAUACCAAAUUUUUUCAUACUCUAUUACUUUUGAAUUCUCUAAUUUCAACUUGGUGUAAAAAUAAAAAUUGAAUUGACAUUUUAUAAAUUUGUACUUUAUUUGAAAGCUAUUACCUAAUGUCAAAAGAAUUUAUUAGGGUAUGUUAGAUAGUGAUGUUUGAUUCAGAUGCUCCCAAACUCUAUAAUCUUGUUAGAGAUUGUGAUGUGAUACAUAAUCUUUGUUAGAGAUUGUGAUGUGAUACAUAAUCUUUUGUAGAAUUUUACGAUGAACAAUCGAGUUCUUUACUGAUACGAACCAAUUAGUUUUUUUAUGAGUCCUAAGCGAUUAAUGCAAACUUUCAAAAAAUAAUUUUUCUCUAUUCAUUGUCAUAUUUGUUUUUCCCUCGUUUAUGUAUAAAAAGGUCGAAAGAGGGAGAUUAAUAUUAAAUGAUAUCCUUUUAACGUUAAUUCUUUCAAACUCAAUAUUGAUGGUUUUUAUCACAACACAUAUGCUUGUAGAAAACAUGUCAUAUAUCAUAGAGAAGUAUCCUGUUUCUGUUACUGUUAAUGUCACUGUUUAUUUGACAUAAGUAAGAAAUAUACAACAGUUAUGAGAGCGAUAGUUAUAACACUUAAUUUUAACAUGCAUAGUGACAUUUCUAAAGAAGGAAUAGUUACUUAUAAAAUCCAUGUUGCAACUACCUUAAUAAUUAUAAUGGAAAAAAACAAAUAAUAUGUACGGUAAUUCUCAAAAUUUAGUUAUUUUUUAAUUAAUAAUGAAACAUCUUACAACAUAUUAUAUGUGGACCUUAAAAAAAAAAUAGGGCGAGCCGGCGACAAGUAUUAACUAAAAUAUUAUAAUUGAAAUUCUUAAAAGUUAUAUAGUUAUUUUUUAUAGUUUCACACAAUUCAUACACAGUAGACAAGUUGCAAAAGUUUAAAUUUUAAUUAUCACAAGUUUUAUAAUUUUCACAAGUCACACAAUUUUCACAAGUCACAUUAUUUUCACAAGUAACACAACUUAUACAAGUUUUUAGAACUUCCGACAAGUGUUAGAGUUGUGUGUUCGAAUAUUAGGUAGUUUAUCUAUAUGUAAAAGUUGUUGUAUUAAUUUUAUUUUAAUAGUAUAAAGUAUAUCAAAUUAAAAACGUAUUUGAGAGAAGAUAGGUAUAUAGGUGGAGAGGAAAGAAGCAAAAUGCUUCAGUUUCUCACUAUCAAUUUUAAUAAUUUAUCACUAUUAUUUUGAUAAUUUAUUAUUAUUAUUAUUAUUAUUAUAUAUAUAAAAAAAUAAUUAAUAAUAUAUAGUUAUUAUAUAUAUAUAUAUAUAUAUAUAUAUAUAAAUAAUAAAAAAUACAGGGAUACCGUGACACUAUUAUUAUUAACGUUAAUAUCACUGUUUCUGUUAUUGUUAAUGUCACUAUUUCUGUUGACAAGAAUAAGAAUUAUACAACGAUGAGAGUGAUGUUAUUAAUAAUGUUAAUGUCACUGUUUAUGUUAUUGUUAACGUAAUUGUUUCUGUUGACAGGAAUAAGAAUUAUACAACAGUGAUGAGAAGAUAGUUAUAACACUUAGUAGAGAGGAGAGCUGUGACUUACACUGAUAGUGGAAUGUUACGAUGAUUGGUGAUGGUAUUCACUCCACUAUCAUCUCCAUUAAUGUCAGCGUCUCGAAAAAUAAUUUGAUGUCAUUCUACUACUCUUACAACCCCUUCUAUAUUAUCUUUCCAUUUACUUAAAAUACAUGUUGCAACUACCUUAAUCAUUAUAAUGGAAAAAAACAAAUAAUAUGUACGAUAAUUCUCAAAAUUUAAUAUUUUUUUUAAUUAAUAAUGAAUCAUCUUACAAAAUAUUAUGUGGACCUUAAAAUAUUAAUAAUAAUUAAUAAUAUAUAGUUAUUAUUAUUAUUAUUAUAUAAAAAAAUAAUUAAUAAUAUAUAGUUAUUAUAUAUAUAUAUAUAAAAAUACAGAGAUGCCGUGACACUAUUAUUAUUAACGUUAACAUCACUAUUUCUGUUAUUGUUAAUGUCACUGUUUCUGUUGACAGGAGUAAGAAUUAUACAACAGUCAUGAGAGCGAUGUUAUUAAUAAUGUUAAUGUCAGUGUUUCUGUUGACAGGAGUAAAAACUAUACAACAGUGAUGAGAGCGAUAGUUAUAACACUUAAUUUGAUCAUGCAACGUUAUGGGACAUUUCUAAAAAAGGAAUAGUUAUUUAUAGAGAGUUGUGACUUGCACUGAUAAGUGGAAAUAAUUGGUGAUGAUAUUCACUCCACUAUCAUCUCCAUUAACGUUAGUGUCUGUAAAAAUAAUUUGAAAAAAAAAAUAAUAUGUACGAUAAUUCUCAAAAUUUAAUUUAUUUUUUUAAUUAAUAAUGAACAUCUUACGUAGUUGUGAUACAUUUUACUUUUUCUAUACGAAGAUGAUAGGAGUUUAGGAUUCAUAGCAUCUUACAUUUCUUUUAGGAACACUGUCGAGUUAAAAAAUAUCAAGCAAUGGCUCUAGGUACAUACAUCUAUUAUUUUGUAAAUAUUUUUUCUCUCUUUUCUUUUGUAUGCAUACAUAAAAAAUAAAAAAAAGAUAUCGUGUGAAAGCAAGUGUGAACGUGCAUUCGUGCACUCACGAACAUAUAAAUUUCUACAACUAAAAAACUAUACUUUAAACAUUUGUACUAUUAUAAAAAAUUGGUUUUGCUCAAGAUAUAUAUAUAUAUAUAUAUAUAUAUAUAUAUAUAUAUAUAUAUAUAUAUAUAUACCACACUAUGUGGUAAGAGCUAAUCCGGAUGGAUAAGGGAUUUAUUCAAAUAGGACUAAAAAGUCUUUAAAAAAAUUAAGUUGAAAUUACGGCUGACUCAUUUAAGUUAACUCAUUUUGACAGAUCUAACUCUCUCUCUCCACUUUUUGUAGGUCCUACACAAUAAAUUAUAUUAAAAUAAAUUAAUGUUGAAAUAUAGUGAUAUAGAGUUAUUAGUGGGACUUGUUUAUUAAUUUUUUGAGGUGUUAAAUUUGAAAGAUGGAAUACUUAUUAAAGAUUAUUAAAUAAGUCGUGUGUACAUAUAACACUCAUUUAAGCAUCCAAACAUCGAAGUUUCUUACAUCCCAUGUAUCCGUAUCCUCGUCCGUUUUGCAUCCCUAUUUACAAGUCAUAAUACAUUUUUAACAGACUUCUUAAAUAUUGAUCUUUGUCUUGCUUUUACUAGGAUAUUUAGAAUAAAUAAAAAUUGGAUCAUACUGAUUUGUUAAGCAAUCAAAAAUAAAAUAAAAGUAAUAACUAUUUUAUAUAUAAAAAGAAUCUUUUUAAAAUUUCAAAACAUUAAUUAUACAAAUUUCAAAAUAUUAAUUAGUUUUCCUUUAAAUUGUUUAACAAUUAUACUAAAGGCAAUUAUUAGUAUCUUUCAUAAAAAAUUUAAUGAACGAAAUUAUUUAUCCAUCAAAUAGUCAAUCAAGCUUUGCAACGCCCUACAAUAACUACGUUAAUUAAUCAUAGUACUGUCUUGGAUUGGACCAAAAUAUAAACCAACUCUAGCUUAGACAGUAAUCACACAGUUACAUUUCUCGUGAUUAACCAGAGAAAUGAUUUUUUGGGAAGAGGCAUAAGAUAAGCACUAUGUGUUUCUUUGACCAAAUCAUGUUCAUUACAGUAUAAGAGUCAAUUUCCAUCAAAAUUAUAGUAAAUACAAUUUACAGAUCAUUCGGACACCGUAAACUAGCUCUUCAAGUUUAGCUAAUGUAGAGGUAGUUCCAUAGAGAAUACUAAAGAAACCACAAACAAAACUUCUAUAUAAUAUAUGAUAUGCUCUCCACAAGCGAUGUGUGUUGUGUUGCGAUAAAAACCAUCAAUAUUGUGUUUGAAAGAAUUAACGUUAGAAGGAUAUCAUUUAACAUUAAUCUCCCUCUUUCUACAUAAAAAAAUGAUAAAGAUGGCCAUGAAUAGAGAAAAAUUAUUUAUUGAAAGUUUGCAUUAAUUGUUCAGAUCAAAAUUCUGAAAAAACUAAUUGGUUCGGUAAUAAAGUUCUCCCAAAGAUUAUGUAUCACAUAGUAAUAAAGUUCUCCCAAAGAUUAUGUAUCACAUCACAAUCUCUAACCAGAUGCAUAGUGGUUUAUAGAGUUUGGGAGCAUUUGAAGCAAACUGUCUAACAUACAACAAUGAUGAGAGCGAUAAUUAUAACACUUAAUUAUAUCAUAUAUCAUAGAGAAGUUUAUAUUUGUGGUUUCGUAUUCUCUAUGGAACUACCUCUACGUUAGGAACUAGCUUAUGGUUUCCAAAUUGUAUUUACUAUAAUUUUGAUGGAAAUGGACUCUUAUACUGUAAUGAACAUGAAACACAUAGUGUCUAUCUUAUGCCUCUUCCCAAAAAUUCAUUUCUCUUGUUGAUCACGAGAAAUGGAACUGUGUGAUUAAUCACGUUACCGAUUAACAUGAUUCUCUCAUGUUUUAGUAUUGUUGACAUGCCUAUUCUGUAUUUCAAUUAGUUACUUCUCAUUGUCCUUGAUGAUGUUCGUAGAUGAAUGUCUUUAUCUCAUUAUAUCAUUAUAUCCUUUAAGUUUUUGUAAUUUUUCAUUUUAUAUAAAAAAUCAUAAUUUUGGGUCCGUCGGUGCACGUGAGUCUAUUAUUUACUUAUCAAUAACAUGUCAAAAAUGAGAUAUUACUCUUUCAUUUUCUACCCCUAGAUUUUUUUGCCUCUUUUUAAAUACUCGUUCUAUUUUAUAAUGAAUGUCAUUUUAGUAAAAAAAAUUUAUUAUAAAAUUAAUAUUAUUUUUAUUUUUUGAUGUAAUUUUAAUUGUACCAUUCAAUUAUUUCUACAACUUACACUUUUUAUUUUAUAAAAAAGAUUUAAAAUGGAUAGAUAGUGUCCCAAUCUAAAACACAAAAGACGUUAAGUUUUAUUGAACACUUGCCAAUAUUAAAUUUAUUUUAUAUAUAUAUAUAUAUAUAUAUAUAUAAAUAUAUAUAUAUAAUAGUGAAAACAUACCACAAUAAUUAAAAAAAAUCUGAUAAUUUUUUAUUUAUUUAUUUAUAACUUUUAUUUUUGGUGAAAUUUAUUUAUAGUUCUUAAUAUAAAUAAAAUGAAUAAAAGUAGGGAUAGACGGACAAUAGUAGCUAUUAGAUGCUGAGAGUGGUAUUAAUAUGAGCAAAAGAGCGCUAUGUAUUAAUUAUAAAAAGUAGAAGAGGAAAACAGAGUACAUAAUAAGACAACACCAACCGAAGCA